rnacentral:rRNA from 1 species
AACGAACGCUGGCGGCAUGCCUAACACAUGCAAGUCGAACGAGACCUUCGGGUCUAGUGGCGCACGGGUGCGUAACGCGUGGGAACCUGCCCUUAGGUUCGGAAUAACUCCCCGAAAGGGGUGCUAAUACCGGAUAAUGUCUUCGGACCAAAGAUUUAUCGCCUUUGGAUGGGCCCGCGUUGGAUUAGCUAGUUUGUAGGGUAAAAGCCUACCAAGGCGACGAUCCAUAGCUGGUCUGAGAGGAUGAUCAGCCACACUGGGACUGAGACACGGCCCAGACUCCUACGGGAAGCAGCAGUGGGGAAUAUUGGACAAUGGGCGAAAGCCUGAUCCAGCAAUGCCGCGUGAGUGAUGAAGGCCCUAGGGUUGUAAAGCUCUUUUACCCGGGAUGAUAAUGACAGUACCGGGAGAAUAAGCUCCGGCUAACUCCGUG